CAGUCGCCGCGGUAAUACAGAGGAUGCAAGCGUUAUCCGGAAUGAUUGGGCGUAAAGCGUCUGUAGGUGGCUUUUCAAGUCCGCCGUCAAAUCCCAGGGCUCAACCCUGGACAGGCGGUGGAAACUACCAAGCUGGAGUACGGUAGGGGCAGAGGGAAUUUCCGGUGUAGCGGUGAAAUGCGUAGAUAUUAGGAAGAACACCAGUGGCGAAGGCGGCUUUCUGGACUGUAACUGACGCAGAGGCUCGAAAGCCAGGGGAGCGAACGGGAUUAGAUACCCCAGUAGUCCCUGUCUCUUAUAC
rnacentral:rRNA from 1 species